rnacentral:rRNA from 2 species
UACGUAGGGGGCAAGCGUUAUCCGGAUUUACUGGGUGUAAAGGGAGCGUAGGUGGUUCGGUAAGUCAGAAGUGAAAGCCCAGGGCUCAACCUUGGGACUGCUUUUGAAACUAUCGGACUAGAGUGCAGGAGAGGCAAGUGGAAUUCCUAGUGUAGCGGUGAAAUGCGUAGAUAUUAGGAGGAACACCAGAGGCGAAGGCGGCUUGCUGGACUGUAACUGACACUGAGGCUCGAAAGCGUGGGGAGCAAACAGG